GAUCACCUACGGGAGGCAGCAGUAGGGGAUCUUCCACAAUGGACGAAAGUCUGAUGGAGCAACGCCGCGUGAGUGAAGAAGGGUUUCGGCUCGGAAAGCUCUGUUGGUAGUGAAGAAAGAUAGAGGUAGUAACUGGCCUUUAUUUGACGGUAAUUACUUAGAAAGUCACGGCUAACUACGUGCCAGCAGCCGCGGUAAUACGUAGGUGGCAAGCGUUGUCCGGAUUUAUUGGGCGGAAAGCGAGUGCAGGCGGGUCAAUAAGUC
rnacentral:rRNA from 1 species